CUAGGCCAGUUAAUCAUUGACACCGGAGUGUCCAGUGUCCCCACCCUGCUGGGCUGGGAGGAGAGCCCGGCAGAGCGAAGCCCCUGGCGAGCCCUAGACUGGUUCCUCUGCCCGUCCCCACCCAUCCUGGGCCUGGGGUGCUGCCCUGAUCCUGGAAGCCACUUCCUCUCUCGAAACUGCUUCCCCCACAGCCCAUCUUCCUAGAGUCUAAGUGGGAGUGGCGCUUGCAGCCUCUUUGGAAAAUGCAGCACCGGACAGGGCCUGUGUGGUCUGAGACCGGGGCCCAGCACGGCGUGGGCCUCCACGGACGUCUGAGAACUGGCAUCAACAGUGACAGCGGACCAGCAAGCGGCGCUGGAGCCAUGAAAGCGCAAGUGGAGUAGUCGUCUCAACAGGUGACAGCAAGUCUCCAUCUCAUCUUCAUCUUCUUCGUCGUCGUCUUCUGCAACACUGGAUCCUUAACCCACGGUGCCGGGUUGGGGAUAGAACCUACAUCCCAGCGCUCCCAAAUCACCGCUGAUUCCAUUGGGCCACAGCAAUAACUCCAACUUUAUCCUUUUUUUUCCUGAAAAACAAACACAACUUUAUUGUUUACAAAUACAUAUUU